UCUGCCUACGGGACGCAGCAGUGGGGAAUAUUGCACAAUGGGGGAAACCCUGAUGCAGCGACGCCGCGUGAGUGAAGAAGUAUUUCGGUACGUAAAGCUCUAUCAGCAGGGGAGAAUAAUGACGGUACCUGACUAAGAAGCCCCGGCUAACUACGUGCCAGCAGCCGCGGUAAUACGGAGGGGGCAAGCGUUAUCCGGAUUUACUGGGUGUAAAGGGAGCGUAGACGGCUGUGCAAGUCUGAAGUGACAUGCCGGGGCUCAACACCGGACGUGUGU
rnacentral:rRNA from 1 species